rnacentral:lncRNA from 1 species
CUCUAAAUAAAAUAUUAAAGAGGGCUGGGGUUGUGGGUCAGUGGUUAAGCACUCCUGGGUUCAAUUCACAGUACCAAAAAAAAAAAAGUUCUUGAAAGUUGUUGAGUGUACACACAGACACACACACACACACACACAUACAUAUAUGAAAGUACUCACAAUAUAGAAGAGGUCCAUGAAUUUGAGAGAUGUAGGAAAGCUUCCAAUUUUCCCAGUUCCUUUAAAAGACAAAAAAAAUCACACAGGUUAAAACCUAGCAACCAACAAAUCUUGUAAAGGCAUCUGGCUUCCAGUUCUCUUCACAGGUUACUCAGCUCUCCAUUGAUGGGUCAGAACACACGAGAAAUACAGAUAACAGGAGAAAAGAUUUCCUUUGGCUCAUGUGAUCACAGGUUCUGUCCACAAUUGGGUGACCCCGCUGGUCUGUCUGAGAUGACUUAAAACAUGGAGGAAGAGCAGAGCUGCCCAUGUCAUGGCAGCCAGGAGGAAGAUAAAGAGGGAGGGGAUGGGCCAGCAACUAAGCUGUCUUCAUGCCAUCUGAGUACAGUGGUUAACAAGAAAUUAGGUGGAUAUAAAUGUGAUUCGUGCAUGUAAGUUAUGUAGUUUGUAG